GGUGAACCUGCAGAAGGAUCAUU
rnacentral:rRNA from 1 species